rnacentral:misc_RNA from 1 species
UUUGAUUUCCAUUCCCCUUCAACAAGGAAGGAGAAUAGUUGAAGAAGUAUGAUAUGUGCAGACUGACUUGAUACUUGCUUUCUUUGAGACUCUUUUUACUACUUAAUACAUACCAGACAUUCAUCAAUCAUAACUCUUCUCGUCUUCUCACCAUGAUUCUAUCCUUACAAAGUGAUCAUACUAGAGGUUUUGAUAUACUUUUUAGA